rnacentral:rRNA from 1 species
UACGGAGGGUGCAAGCGUUAUUCGGAAUCACUGGGCGUAAAGGACGCGUAGGCGGGUUGGCAAGUCAGAUGUGAAAUCCUACAGCUUAACUGUAGAACUGCAUUUGAAACUGCUAACCUAGAGUAUGGGAGGGGGAGAUGGAAUUAGUGGUGUAGGGGUAAAAUCCGUAGAUAUCACUAGGAAUACCGAAAGCGAAGGCGAUCUCCUGGAACAUAACUGACGCUAAGGCGUGAAAGCGUGGGGAGCAAACGGGAUUAGAAACCCUAGUAGUCC